rnacentral:rRNA from 1 species
AUGAACGCUAGCGGCAGGCUUAACACAUGCAAGUCGAGGGGUAUAGGAAGCUUGCUUCCUAGAGACCGGCGCACGGGUGCGUAACGCGUAUGCAAUCUACCUUUGCAGAGGGAUAGCCCAGAGAAAUUUGGAUUAAUACCUCAUAGUAUGUGAGAAUGGCAUCAUUUUCACAUUAAAGUCACAACGGCAAAAGAUGAGCAUGCGUCCCAUUAGCUUGUUGGUAAGGUAACGGCUUACCAAGGCAACGAUGGGUAGGGGUCCUGAGAGGGAGAUCCCCCACACUGGUACUGAGACACGGACCAGACUCCUACGGGAGGCAGCAGUGAGGAAUAUUGGACAAUGGGCGCAAGCCUGAUCCAGCCAUGCCGCGUGCAGGAUGACGGUCCUAUGGAUUGUAAACUGCUUUUGUACAGGAAGAAACACUGGUUCGUGAACCAGCUUGACGGUACUGUAAGAAUAAGGAUCGGCUAACUCCGUG